UGUCUUGUGGGAUGCUGUCUUGUGUA
rnacentral:piRNA from 1 species